CACAGGCCCUAUCACUUCCACAACAAGUAAAAGAAACAUCAGACAGAUAUUAAUCCCACAGCCACAGAUUAGAAACCACCACGAAGACGGAGCACAAGGUGAAGGGUGGACUCCUUCUGAAUAUUGUAAUCAGCAAGGGUCCUUCCAUCCUCCAACUGCUUCCCUGCAAAGAUCAACCUCUGCUGGUCCGGUGGGAUACCUUCUUUAUCCUGAAUUUUUGCCUUCACAUUAUCAAUGGUAUCAGAGCUCUCCACCUCAAGGGUAAUUGUCUUCCCAGUCAAGGUCUUCACAAAAAUCUGCAUACCACCACGAAGACGCAACACAAGGUGAAGGGUAGACUCCUUCUGGAUGUUGUAAUCAGCGAGGGUCCUUCCAUCUUCCAGCUGCUUUCCGGCGAAGAUCAACCUCUGCUGAUCUGGGGGAAUACCUUCCUUAUCCUGGAUCUUGGCCUUAACGUUGUCGAUUGUGUCAGAACUCUCCACCUCAAGGGUAAUAGUUUUACCAGUGAGGGUCUUCACGAAGAUUUGCAUACCACCACGAAGACGCAACACAAGGUGAAGGGUUGACUCCUUCUGGAUGUUGUAGUCAGCUAAGGUGCGGCCAUCUUCAAGCUGCUUUCCGGCGAAGAUGAGUCUCUGCUGGUCUGGUGGGAUUCCUUCCUUGUCUUGGAUCUUAGCCUUCACGUUGUCGAUGGUGUCAGAGCUUUCAACUUCGAGAGUGAUGGUCUUACCGGUGAGGGUCUUCACAAAGAUCUGCAUACCUCCACGAAGACGGAGGACGAGAUGAAGGGUAGAUUCCUUCUGGAUAUUGUAGUCGGCGAGGGUACGACCGUCCUCAAGUUGCUUUCCGGCGAAGAUAAGUCUCUGCUGGUCCGGGGGAAUUCCUUCCUU
rnacentral:lncRNA from 1 species